rnacentral:rRNA from 1 species
GCAAGUCGAACGGACUCAUAUUGAAACCUAGUGAUUUAUGAGUUAGUGGCGGACGGGUGAGUAACGCGUGGAAAACCUGCCGUAUACUGGGGGAUAACACUUAGAAAUAGGUGCUAAUACCGCAUAAGCGCACAGCUUUGCAUGAAGCAGUGUGAAAAACUCCGGUGGUACAGGAUGGACCCGCGUCUGAUUAGCUGGUUGGAGGGGUAACGGCCCACCAAGGCGACGAUCAGUAGCCGGCCUGAGAGGGUGAAC